CAUGACCUGAGCCAAAGUCGGACACUUAACUGACUGAGCCACCCAGGUGCCCCAUACUUUUCCAGAUUUGCUUUGGCAGAGACAUUUCUUGACCAGUCAGCCUACUUUGAGCUUCUGGAUGUGACAGCAGAUGGAACCUGCUAUUAGGAUAUAUUUUCAGACAAGAAUAAAGCAUAUAUACAAUACAGAUCACUGCAUUCUUCAUUUUUUAAUCUUUCAAAGUGAUAUGUAUAUCUACCAGAGCAGCAAGAGGCCGCUUCAGACUAAGAGAGCCAAAAGACCAAAUGGAGGCAGACAUUAAUGUGCCCUUCCUUUAAUUCUCCAGGCAAAACAAGACAGGAUUCUGUGAUGGAUUAACCUGUAUGAAAUCAGCAUUGGCCCCUGGUUAUGGAUGUUUUUUGCAGCACCUGCACCUUAAUACCACCUCAAGAAGAAGGGUCAGUGGAGAAAGUUCUCUAGAAAACUCAAAUAAAAUAGAUUUGUAUCCUCAA